rnacentral:rRNA from 1 species
GACGAACGCUGGCGGCGUGCCUAAUACAUGCAAGUAGAACGCUGAAGAGAGGAGCUUGCUCUUCUUGGAUGAGUUGCGAACGGGUGAGUAACGCGUAGGUAACCUGCCUUGUAGCGGGGGAUAACUAUUGGAAACGAUAGCUAAUACCGCAUAACAAUGGAUGACACAUGUCAUUUAUUUGAAAGGGGCAAUUGCUCCACUACAAGAUGGACCUGCGUUGUAUUAGCUGGUAGGUGAGGUAACGGCUCACCUAGGCGACGAUACAUAGCCGACCUGAGAGGGUGAUCGGCCAUACUGGGACUGAGACACGGCCCAGACUCCUACGGGAGGCAGCAGUAGGGAAUCUUCGGCAAUGGGGGCAACCCUGACCGAGCAACGCCGCGUGAGUGAAGAAGGUUUUCGGAUCGUAAAGCUCUGUUGUAAGUCAAGAACGAGUGUGAGAGUGGAAAGUUCACACUGUGACGGUAGCUUACCAGAAAGGGACGGCUAACUACGUGCCAGCAGCCGCGGUAAUACGUAGGUCCCGAGCGUUGUCCGGAUUUAUUGGGCGUAAAGCGAGCGCAGGCGGUUUGAUAAGUCUGAAGUUAAAGGCUGUGGCUCAACCAUAGUUCGCUUUGGAAACUGUCAAACUUGAGUGCAGAAGGGGAGAGUGGAAUUCCAUGUGUAGCGGUGAAAUGCGUAGAUAUAUGGAGGAACACCGGUGGCGAAAGCGGCUCUCUGGUCUGUAACUGACGCUGAGGCUCGAAAGCGUGGGGAGCGAACAGG